CCUACGGGUGACAGCAGUGAGGAAUAUUGGUCAAUGGGCGCAAGCCUGAACCAGCCAAGUAGCGUGAAGGAAGACUGCCCUAUGGGUUGUAAACUUCUUUUAUAAGGGCAUAAAGUUGUCCACGUGUGGAUGUUUGCAGGUACUGUAUGAAUAAGGAUCGGCUAAUUCCGUGCCAGCAGCCGCGGUAAUACGGAGGGUCCGGGCGUUAUCCGGAUUUAUUGGGUUUAAAGGGAGCGUAGGCGGGUUGUUAAGUGUGCUGUGAAAUUUUGUGGCUCAACCAUGAUAGUGCGAUUGAAACUGGCGAUCUUGAGUACGGGGGAGGUAGGCGGAAUUCGUGGUGUAGCGGUGAAAUGCUUAGAUAUCACGAAGAACCCCGAUUGCGAAGGCAGCCUACUGAACCGCCACUGACGCUGAAGCUCGAAAGCGUGGGUAUCAAACAGGAUUAGAUACCCGGGUAGUC
rnacentral:rRNA from 1 species